rnacentral:rRNA from 1 species
GAUGAACGCUGGCGGCGUGCCUAAUACAUGCAAGUCGAGCGAACAGACGAGGAGCUUGCUCCUCGGACGUUAGCGGCGGACGGGUGAGUAACACGUGUAUAACCUACCUAUAAGACUGGGAUAACUUCGGGACACCGGAGCUAAUACCGGAUAAUAUACUGAACCGCAUGGUUCAAUAGUGAAAGACGGUUUUGCUGUCUCUUAUAGAUGCUUCCGCGCUGCAUUAGCUAGUUGGUAAGGUAACGGCUUACCAAGGCGACGAUGCGUAAACGACCUGAGAGGGGGAUCGGCCGCCCGGGAGCUGAGACGGGGACCAGAGGCCUGCGGGAGGCAGCAGUAGGGAAUCUGCCGCAAUGGGCGAAAGCCUGACGGAGCGACGCGGCGUGAGUGAUGAAGGUCUUCGGAUCGUGAAACUCUGUUAUUAGGGAAAAACAAAUGUGUAAGUAACUAUGCACGUAUUGACGGUACCUAGUCAGAAAGCCACGGCUAACUACGUG